rnacentral:misc_RNA from 1 species
AACGCACAUUGCGCCUAAGAGUAUUCUUUUAGGCAUGCUUGUUCGAGCGUCGUUUAAACUCAUAAGGCUUUGCCUUUUGUUGAAGCAUUGGGCUGAAUGUAGUCCAAGUUUCCAAAAUAGUUGGCAAUUGUAAUGAUAAUAAUCCAAUACGCAGCGAUAUGCGAUAAUUUGAUAUAUAUCAUAUAAUGAUUAUGCCAAUAAACUACCAAAAAGUUCGACCUCGAAUCAAGUAAGAUUACCCGCUGAACUUAA